UAUUCCCGUUACACAACAAUGAGCAAAGAGGGGCAGCUGUAAUAGCCUAAAUUUGCCCUGCCCAUAUAUAGUUCAAAAAUAAAAAAAAAACAAAAACAAAAACCAAAUUAAAGAAAACAAUUCAUAAAGUCUGGUUACAAUAAAGCCUAAGCCAAUACAAUAGGCCUAAUUUCUAAAUACCCAACCAAAACUCACCAACCCUAGCCCGAAUACCCCAUCUAGCCAAACUAUCAUGGCCCAAUGCAGCCCAACAUAACUAGAAACCCAAGCACCAA
rnacentral:lncRNA from 1 species